rnacentral:miRNA from 1 species
UGGCCUAGUUUCCUCGGAUUC